GACCAUUGGGACUCUCGGAGUCUGACCCACCAACAAAAGAACAUGCACCGACUGGACCCAGACCUCCAUACACAUAUGUAACAGAUGUUCAACAUGGUCUUCAUGUGGGUCCCAAACAACUUGAAUGGGGCUAUCUCAAAAGCUCUUGACCGUGCAAGGGAUAUGUUCUUCCAGCUGGACUGCUUAUCUGGCCUCAAUGGGAGAGGAAGUGCUUAGCCUCAAGGAAACUUUAAGUGACAAGGUGAUUGAGGGUCCCACCCACUCAGAAUUGAAGAGGCAGAGUCAUCGAUGAGUCCUGGACUAUUUCACAGGAGCAAGAGGAGAUAACUUCCAAGGUUUGUCUGCCAUUGCAGAAGGUGGCAUCAUGACAAGAUUCUGAUGAUGUGGGGUGACAUUUCAUCCAUUUCCCCCAAGAAAAGGUCAUGACCCAAUGAAGUCUUAAUUGCAGUUGCAUGGAAGAACAAUAAAAGUUUUCUGAAUGGAACAAGCAAAUGACACAAAUCGUACUGGUACUGUUGCUCAGUAGAUAAAAGCUUUUACCAUGCAACUGUGGCAGUCUAAGUUUCCCCCCCAAGCCUCCUGGUGGAAGAAAAGACCUCACUCCUGAAAACUGUCUUGUAACCUCCCAGUAAGUUGUGGCAUUCUCAUGGCCCUCACACUAUACUUAUAUACAUGAUAUAUACAUACACAUGUAAUAAUAAUAAACAAAUGACCUUUGGAAAGAAAUAAAUUGAAGAUCAAACACAGGUGUUUGAUCAAACU
rnacentral:lncRNA from 1 species